rnacentral:lncRNA from 1 species
GAGACAAGUUCCUAUCUGGAUGAUUAAUCUUCACCACCAGUGCCCUGCUAUCCAGUUCCAAAUGUGCUCGUUGGAUGUUAGGAGCAACAACCACCUAUAGUGCCCUUCUGCACGCCAACGCUUCUACCACUUCAGGAUCAACAAUGCCUGGGAAGAAAUGGCUAACUAUGGACAAGAACAUCGCAUUAUGAUCCCGAAAUACUGCCCCACCACCACCGUUUGUUCCUUGCUUCAAGACCGCGCCAUCGGAGUUUAUUUUUACCCAUCCAUUUAGAGG